rnacentral:rRNA from 1 species
AUUGAACGCUGGCGGCAGGCCUAACGCAUGCAAGUCGAGCGGAUGAAGGGAGCUUGCUCCUGGAUUCAGCGGCGGACGGGUGAGUAAUGCCUAGGAAUCUGCCUGGUAGUGGGGGAUAACGUCCGGAAACGGGCGCUAAUACCGCAUACGUCCUGAGGGAGAAAGUGGGGGAUCUUCGGACCUCACGCUAUCAGAUGAGCCUAGGUCGGAUUAGCUAGUUGGUGGGGUAAAGGCCUACCAAGGCGACGAUCCGUUACUAGUCUGAGAGGAUGAUCAGUCACACUGGAACUGAGACACGGUCCAGACUCCUACGGGAGGCAGCAGUGGGGAAUAUUGGACAAUGGGCGAAAGCCUGAUCCAGCCAUGCCGCGUGUGUGAAGAAGGUCUUCGGAUUGUAAAGCACUUUAAGUUGGGAGGAAGGGCAGUAAGUUAAUACCUUGCUGUUUUGACGUUACCAACAGAAUAAGCACCGGCUAACUUCGUG